GACGAACGCUGGCGGCGUGCUUAACACAUGCAAGUCGAGCGGUAAGGCCCUUUCGGGGGUACACGAGCGGCGAACGGGUGAGUAACACGUGGGUGACCUGCCCUUAGCUCUGGGAUAAGCCCGGGAAACUGGGUCUAAUACCGGAUAUGACUCCAUGACGCAUGUUGUGGGGUGGAAAGCCUUGUGCGGCUAGGGAUGGGCCCGCGGCCUAUCAGCUUGUUGGUGGGGUGAUGGCCACCAAGGCGACGACGGGUAGCCGGCCUGAGAGGGCGACCGGCCACACUGGGACUGAGACACGGCCCAGACUCCUACGGGAGGCAGCAGUGGGGAAUCUUGCGCAAUGGGCGAAAGCCUGACGCAGCGACACCGCGUGGGGAUGAC
rnacentral:rRNA from 1 species